rnacentral:rRNA from 1 species
GCAAGUCGAGCGCUUCCAUUCGGGGCGGAGCGGCGGACGGGUUAGUAACGCGUGGGAACGUACCCUUUUCUGCGGGAUAGCCAUUGGAAACGAUGAGUAAUACCGCAUACGCCCUUCGGGGGAAAGAUUUAUCGGAGAAGGAUCGGCCCGCGUUAGAUUAGAUAGUUGGUGGGGUAAUGGCCUACCAAGUCUACGAUCUAUAGCUGGUUUGAGAGGAUGAUC